rnacentral:SRP_RNA from 1 species
CUUUCGGUUCCUCGCAAUGAUGUCUGGUUUACCCGGUCAGGUUCGGAAGAAAGCAGCCAAGGUCAGAAUUUUCGUGUGCCGAGAUCAAGCUGGGAGGGUU